GCGGGAUUAGUCUAGUGGUAGAACAGUUCCUUCCCAAGGAACAGGCGCGAGUUCGAUUCUCGUAUCCCGCU
rnacentral:tRNA from 1 species